UUAUAUACAGACAGAUGAUGACAGAUGG
rnacentral:piRNA from 1 species